AGAGGGAGAGUGUGAGAGUUUUGCAUGCAUGCUCCAACCAGUACGGCAUACAGGUUUUCUACUGUACAAAUAUCUGUACAAUAUUGCUGUAUAUUUGUACUGUUGUUUGGACGGUAUUUGCUGCAGUUUUCAAAAUGAAGCUGUAACUGCUGAUCUCAACAAUUUGAUAGCAUUUGUGAUCAGACAUUCAGUUAAGCAUUUUGUUGACCCACUGGGCAAACUUGAUAUGACCUUAGAAUGCUGAUGACAGGUUUUUAAAUCGUAAUGCAGUUAUCAGCAUCCAUCCUGAGGGUUGUCGCCCCUCAGCCAAUCCUUGAGGAUGGCAGGAGGUUGGUAGCAUUAACAUGCCCAGGGUCUUGUCAAUGAAAUGAGACAUCUACUUUCCUCAUGAAAUCUUUGACAAGUCUAUUAACUAAAAGGUCAGCGUCGGGGGUUUCAUUAAGAGCUGGGUAACAGGAAAAUUGACCAGCUGUGAGGAUAUUCUUGCCUGCCUGGUUUAGCCAUCUAGAGGAAUCAAUUUGUGUACCAUGCACUCAAGAGUGUAAAUUUGAUUGGUUAGGUUGCAGAAGAGCUUGCCCUUCCAAGAAGAGGAUGGACCCUAUUUCAAAAUAGAGACAAAAAGGGAGAGAUUAAGACCUCUACAAGGAAGACUCUGUCUUCACUUGGAAUAAAGCAUGGUGAUAUGCUUUUCUUGUCUCAGGAAAUUUCAGCAGCUGAUAAAGAGGUGCCAGCAAAUUCAGCUCACCUUACCUCAUCUAAUAAUGUCAAGGAAGAUGAAAUAGAUAGUUUUCUUUCCAAGCAAAAUGGUCUAAUCCAUAGAGAACGAGAUCCUCAGCUAUGUCAUCACAAUCCAAACAGCAAAUGUAUUCAUUGUGUACCUCU